rnacentral:misc_RNA from 1 species
UCCGGUUUGUCACCGGCAGUCUCGCAUGAGUCCCCGGCCGAACCGCUGGCAACAUGCGACGGGGGUUGCGCUCGUUGCGGGACUUAACCCAACAUCUCACGACACGAGCUGACGACAGCCAUGCACCACCUGUGAACCUGCCCCGAAGGGAAGGUGUGUUUCCACACCGGUCAGGUACAUGUCAAGCCCAGGUAAGGUGGGGAUGACGUGUCGUUACCUUA